CAAAAAUCAGUCUAGUGUGUGUUGAGGCGCUUAUCAAGCUCAAAUACAUUCACAUGCUUUCACACACUCAUAUUCUCACACAAAGGCCCUUUGUAAUUGUAACAUCUAUAGAAACUCCUCAGACUCCCGUCUCCCAGGAAAUAGAAACUUAGUUGAUAAAAUGACGUAAGACAUCAGAUGACCACCAGGUGCAUCCGUAGUAUAGUAAACGAGUCUUCCCGUUUUGGAUGAGAUGCUGUAUAGACUCGGUCACAUCCACACCUAGUCUGUAAGGAAUGAAGUCCAAUCCUUUCUGGGUGUGCCUUGGUGUGAGACUGUGGGCGCCUUCCACGAUUGUUGGACCGAGUUACAGCCGAAAUCCCACACUGAAGCCUUCCAGGCACUGUCGGGGUUUCCCAGCGACCGCGCCGGCUCUACAUCUGGACACACGCAGAAACUGAUUUGACGUUGAUAGGUCUCGCUAUAGAGAGGCUGCAGUGAUUUGAUUUCAUUACAAUGAUUAAAGUUUGAUCAGAAAACAUUUUUACUUACUUUUAAUCCUAGUUUAAUCAUGCCAGUGUAUUUUGAGUGUACUGCCUUCAAUCCUGAUUUACUUUAUUGAUUUGAUGUUUUACGAAGGUGUUCAUUGUUCUGUGCCUUUCAAUACUCAGAAUUCUAAGCUUUUCUUACCAUUUCAUUCCGUUUAACUUUACAUCCUUUUCGUAGUUCAUUAACUUUUACAUAUUACAUAGACAUCUCACCGUUUAGUCUUCUAACAAUGUGUUCAUUUUUGCAUACUACCUAACAUUUCACUGAUUUUACAAAUAAUUUCAACCUAACACUUCACUAUUGCAUUUUUAUUAAGUUCCACACAUUAUCCUAACAUUUUGUUCACUUAGCACUUAUGUAGAACUUAACAACUUAGUAACUGUGACUUUUCACCUUGUUUUUAAAUACUAACAAUAAACAAAACAAAAAAAAUAUACAAAACCUAACACAAAAUUUUAGACUUUGCUCUUUUGAGUUCAUUACCCUCCUGUGGCAUGGCGUUGAACUGAGGUCACUACAGAAUGAAUAUAAUGAAAAAUCAGACAUAUGAAGUAAUAAUGACAACAAAAUGAUUAAGACAAAACUCACAAGACUACGGAUAACAUUUUAUUGAAAAUAAAUAUAAUAAAUA